rnacentral:rRNA from 1 species
AUUGAACGCUGGCGGAAUGCUUUACACAUGCAAGUCGAGCGGCAGCACGGGGGCAACCCUGGUGGCGAGCGGCGAACGGGUGAGUAAUACAUCGGAACAUGCCCAGUCGUGGGGGAUAACACUUCGAAAGAAGUGCUAAUACCGCAUACGUCCUGAGGGAGAAAGCGGGGGAUCUUCGGACCUCGCGCGAUUGGAGUGGCCGAUGUCAGAUUAGCUAGUUGGUGGGGUAAAGGCCUACCAAGGCAACGAUCUGUAGCUGGUCUGAGAGGAUGAUCAGCCAAACUGGGACUGAGGAACGGCCCAGACUCCUACGGGAGGCAGCAGUGGGGAAUUUUGGACAAUGGGGGCAACCCUGAUCCAGCCAUUCCGCGUGAGUGAAGAAGGCCUUCGGGUUGUAAAGCUCUUUCGGCAGGAACGAAACGGCGAGCUCUAACAUAGCUUGCUAAUGACGGUACCUGAAGAAGCAGCACCGGCUAACUACGUGCCAGCAGCCGCAGUAAGAC